rnacentral:rRNA from 1 species
UACAGAGGUCCCAAGCGUUACUGAGAAUCACUGGGUUUAAAGGGUGCGUAGGUGGCGCGUUAAGUCCGUUGUGAAAUCCCUGGGCUCAACCCAGGAACUGCUUCGGAUACUGGCGUGCUUGAGGCCGGUAGAGGUCACUGGAACAGACGGUGGAGCGGUGAAAUGCGUAGAUAUCGUCUGGAACGCCGGUGGUGAAGACGGGUGACUGGGCCGGUUCUGACACUGAGGCACGAAAGCGUGGGGAG